UACGAAGGGUGCAAGCGUUACUCGGAAUUACUGGGCGUAAAGGGUGCGUAGGUGGUUUGUUAAGUCUGCUGUGAAAUCCCCGGGCUCAACCUGGGAAUGGCAGUGGAUACUGGCAAGCUAGAGUGCGGUAGAGGGUAGUGGAAUUCCCGGUGUAGCAGUGAAAUGCGUAGAGAUCGGGAGGAACAUCCGUGGCGAAGGCGACUACCUGGACCAGCACUGACACUGAGGCACGAAAGCGUGGGGAGCAAACAGG
rnacentral:rRNA from 1 species